UACGAGAGGUCCAAACGUUAUUCGGAAUCACUGGGCUUACAGAGUUCGUAGGCGGUACGGAAAGUGGGGUGUGAAAGCCCUCGGCUCAACCGAGGAACUGCGCUCCAAACUACCGUGCUAGAGGAAGAUAGAGGUGAGCAGAACUGAUGGUGGAGCGGUGAAAUGCGUUGAUAUCAUCAGGAAUACCGGAGGCGAAGGCGGCUCACUGGGUCUUUUCUGACGCUGAGGAACGAAAGCUAGGGGAGCAAACGGGAUUAGAUACCCCGGUAGUCCUAGCCGUAAACGAUGAGCACUGGGCCGGAGCUCUGCACAGGGUUUCGGCCGUAGCGAAAGUGUUAAGUGCUCCGCCUGGGGAGUAUGGUCGCAAGGCUGAA
rnacentral:rRNA from 1 species